rnacentral:rRNA from 1 species
ACGCUGGCGGCGUGCCAAUACAUGCAAGUCGAACGGUCUUUCUAUGGAAGCUUGCUUCCACUGAGAGAUAGUGGCGAACGGGUGAGUAACACGUGGGUAACCUGCCCAUAAGAGGGGGAUAACAUCCGGAAACGGGUGCUAAUACCGCAUAGUUUCUUGAUCGCAUGAUCGGGAAAGGAAAGACGGCCUUUGUGCUGUCGCUUAUGGAUGGACCCGCGGCGUAUUAGUAGUUGGUGAGGUAACGGCUCACCAAGACGAUGAUACGUAGCCGACCUGAGAGGGUGAUCGGCCACAUUGGGACUGAGACACGGCCCAAACUCCUACGGGAGGCAGCAGUAGGGAAUCUUCCGCAAUGGACGAAAGUCUGACGGAGCAACGCCGCGUGAGUGAAGAAAAGGGUUUUCGGAUCGUAAAACUCUGUUGUCAGAGAAGAACAAGUUGGAGAGUAACUGCUCCAGCCUUGACGGUAUCUGACCAGAAAGCCACGGCUAACUACGUGCCAGCCGCAGC